UUCAAUUCAUUCAUGCCCCUUAUGUCCUGGGCUACACACGUAAUACAAUGGCGGUCAACAGAGGGAUGCAAAACCGUAAGGUGGAGCGAACCCCUAAAAGCCGUCUCAGUUCAGAUUGUGGGCUGCAACCCGCCCACAUGAAGUCGGAAUCGCUAGUAAUCGCGGAUCAGCAUGCCGCGGUGAAUACGUUCCCGGGCCUUGUACACACCGCCCGUCACACCAUGAGAGUCGGGAACACCCGAAGUCCGUAGCCUAACCGUAAGGGGGGCGCGGCCGAAGGUGGGUUCGAUAAUUGGGGUGAAGUCGUAACAGGGCUAACCGUACACA
rnacentral:rRNA from 1 species